rnacentral:rRNA from 1 species
GACGAACGCUGGCGGCGCGCUUAACACAUGCAAGUCGAACGCUGAAGCUCAGCUUUUGUUGGGUGGAUGAGUGGCGAACGGGUGAGUAACACGUGAGUAACCUGCCUCCUUCUUUGGGAUAACGCCCGGAAACGGGUGCUAAUACUGGAUAUUCACUGGUCUUCGCAUGGGGGUUGGUGGAAAGGGUUUUUCUGGUGGGGGAUGGGCUCGCGGCCUAUCAGCUUGUUGGUGGGGUGAUGGCCUACCAAGGCUUUGACGGGUAGCCGGCCUGAGAGGGUGACCGGUCACAUUGGGACGGAGAUACGGCCCAGACUACUACGGGAGGCAGAAGUGGGGAAUAUUGCACAAUGGGUGCAAGCCUGAUGCAGCGACGCCGCGUGAGGGAUGGAGGCCUUCGGGUUGUGAACCUCUUUCGCUCAUGGUCAAGCCGAAACAAUGGUUGUGGUGAUGGUAGUGGGUAAAGAAGCGCCGGCUAACUACGUG